GAUGAACGCUGGCGGCGUGCUUAACACAUGCAAGUCGAACGAAGCACUUUAUUUGAUUUCCUUCGGGACUGAUUAUUUUGUGACUGAGUGGCGGACGGGUGAGUAACGCGUGGGUAACCUGCCUUGUACAGGGGGAUAACAGUUGGAAACGGCUGCUAAUACCGCAUAAGCGCACGGCAUCGCAUGAUGCAGUGUGAAAAACUCCGGUGGUAUAAGAUGGACACGCGUUGGAUUAGCUAGUUGGUGAGGUAACGGCCCACCAAGGCGACGAUCCAUAGCCGACCUGAGAGGGUGACCGGCCACAUUGGGACUGAGACACGGCCCAAACUCCUACGGGAGGCAGCAGUGGGGAAUAUUGCACAAUGGGCGAAAGCCUGAUGCAGCGACGCCGCGUGAGCGAAGAAGUAUUUCGGUAUGUAAAGCUCUAUCAGCAGGGAAGAUAAUGACGGUACCUGACUAAGAAGCACCGGCUAAAUACGUG
rnacentral:rRNA from 1 species